AUUGAACGCUGGCGGCGUGCUUAACACAUGCAAGUCGAGCGGUAAGGCCCCUUCGGGGGUACACGAGCGGCGAACGGGUGAGUAACACGUGAGUAAUCUGCCCUCCAGUUCGGGAUAACCACCGGAAACGGCGGAUAAUACAGGAUACGACCAGCCUCGGCACCGGGUGCUGGUGUAAAGGUUUUUCGCUGGAGGAUGUGCUCGCGGCCUAUCAGCUUGUGGGUGGGGUAACGGCCAACCAGGGCUUCGACGGGUAGCCGGCCUGAGAGGGUGACCGGCCACACUGGGACUGAGACACGGCCCAGACUCCUACGGGAGGCAGCAGUGGGGAAUAUUGGACAAUGGGCGAAAGCCUGAUCCAGCAACGCCGCGUGAGGGAUGACGGCCUUCGGGUUGUAAACCUCUUUCAGUAUCGACGAAGCGCCCUGUCGGGUGGUGACGGUAGAUACAGAAGAAGGACCGGCCAACUACGUGCCAGCAGCCGCAGUAA
rnacentral:rRNA from 1 species